GUCCUCCUCAAAAGAUCCCGAGAUCCAGUUUUCAAAGCAGAUCGGCCGUUCUUAUUUCUACUGCAACAGGUUCACACAGUGGUGAAAUAAAAAACCAUCCAGGAAACUUUUCUACAUUGAUGCAACGUUUCCCAGAGCUUCAUCUGAUGACCUGAAACAGAACUGACCUGCUGAUGGAGGACCUGUUGAAGAACCCUAACUCUGUGUUACUGAUGAAGGUGACGAUGGGGGACGACUGGGGGACCCUGAGGGGGUCAGCUGGAGUCUUCCUCUUGGACGUCCCUUAGUUCUGCCCCUAGUUCUGCUGCUACAGGCCUAGGCUGCUGGAGGACCUCUCUGGAUGCACUGAGCCCUUCUCUAUCUACCAUUGUAUUUAAUAUACAGUAUAUAUACCAUUAUUGCAUUACACUCACUCUGUUUCUCCCUGUGUCCUUUCUCCGAGUGUCCCUGAUCCCAGAGC
ensembl:lncRNA